GUCUGCUUACCAUGCAAGUCGAACGGUGUCUUCGGACACAGUGGCGGACGGGUGAGUAACGCGUGAGAAUCUACCUUCAGGUCGGGGAUAACCCCUGGAAACGGGGGCUAAUACCGGAUAGGUCGAAAGAUGAAAGGUUAACUGCCUGAAGAGGAGCUCGCGUCUGAUUAGCUAGUAGGUGUGGUAAGAGCGCACCUAGGCGACGAUCAGUAGCUGGUCUGAGAGGAUGAGCAGCCACACUGGGACUGAGACACGGCCCAGACUCCUACGGGAGGCAGCAGUGGGGAAUUUUCCGCAAUGGGCGAAAGCCUGACGGAGCAAGACCGCGUGGGGGAGGAAGGCCUUUGGGUUGUAAACCCCUUUUGUUAGGGAAGAAAAAAAUGACGGUACCUAACGAAUCAGCCUCGGCUAACUCCGUGCCAGCAGCCGCGGUAAUACGGAGGAGGCAAGCGUUAUCCGGAAUUAUUGGGCGUAAAGCGUCCGUAGGUGGCCCGGCAAGUCUGCUGUCAAAGACCACAGCUCAACUGUGGAAAGGCAGUGGAAACUGCAAGGCUAGAGUGCGGUAGGGGUAGAGGGAAUUCCCAGUGUAGCGGUGAAAUGCGUAGAGAUUGGGAAGAACACCGGUGGCGAAAGCGCUCUACUGGGCCGCAACUGACACUGAUGGACGAAAGCUAGGGGAGCGAAUGGGAUUAGAUACCCCAGUAGUCCUAGCUGUAAACGAUGGAAACUAGGUGUAGCACGUAUCGACCCGUGCUGUAUCGGAGCUAACGCGUUAAGUUUCCCGCCUGGGGGAGUA
rnacentral:rRNA from 1 species